ACCUGUCCACAUGGGGCAGAGGGCUGAGGAUACAGAUGCUGGGGCCACAUAUGAAGCCCUAUUAUUCCCUCCUUGGAAGAAAGCACCCUCCCUCUACACGUGGCCCAGACGGCCCUCUGUGGGGUCAGCUUCCUGAAUCUGAGGGGUGGGCAGAGGGCCUGAGGGUUGCACAGAGAACUCAUCUUGGUUUUAAAACUGGCUGCGGCAGAGACACCUGGUUGAAAGGUAGAUUUUAGGCCGGGCACAGUGGCUCACACCUGUAAUCCCAGCACUUUGGGAGGCCGAGGUGGGUAGAUCACUUGAAGUCAGGAGUUUGAGAUCAGCCUGGCCAAUAUGGCGAAACCCCAUCUCUACUAAAAAUACAAAAAAUGAGCCGGGCAUGGUGGCGCAAGCCUGUAAUCUCAGCUACUCAGGAGGCUGAGGCAGGAGAAUCGCUUGAACCCGGGAAGUGGAGGUUGUGGUGAGCUGUGAUUGCGCCACUGCACUCCAGCCUGGGCCACACAGUGAGAUUCAGUCUCGGAAAAAAAACAACAAACAAACAAACAAAAGGGUAGAUUUUAGGAUCUCACUCUAGGUUUUCUGAACCUCCAGGGUUGCGGCUUGGAGAUCUGCCUUAAUAAGAGCCGCAGAGAGGGCUUGGAAGCCCGACCUUUGGGAAACACUGGCCCUCUCCCCUCCCCCUACCCACACUGGUCUUGGCCCCUGAAGGAUUUGGGGAGUAGACCUGUGAGAAGCAACCCCAUCUCCGAUCCCUGCAGCUGGGCUUGGGACCUUGAAGCCAGAACAACCCCAGGGAAGGAGGUCCAGGCUCAGGUAGCCACUGGCCUCUGGCUGACCUUGGAGGUCAACAUCUGGAGUCUGCAGGCUUUGUUGGGGAGGGGACAGGUCACCUUAGGCAGGGGACUUCACCUCUCUGGCCUCAGUCUCCACAUCUGUAAAGUGGCGCCAUACUUUCCCCCUACCUGGCAAGGAUGAUGAAGGACCAGAGAAAACAUGUCAGAUUCCUUUCUCUGAAUAGGGGCUCAGGAAACAGCGGCCUUGUUGACAGUGACUUAAGGUCAUCAGCAGAGGGGUCUCGGGUCAGGAGCCCCCAUGGGCCAGCAGCACACAGGACAGGAGCCUCGUGUCAGGGGCCUCUGCUGGGGAUAUCUGUCUUCCCAGCAGAACAGGGCUGGCCUUUCCUGAGUGGCUCCUGUUGGCCUCACACUGCGUGCCCCCGGGACAUAGGGCACCUGGACAGAGGUACACACACAGUCUUUCUCUCCAGUGACCCCAGGAGUCCUGGACCAGGAGGCAGAGGCUUGGGUGUGAAUUCUGGCAAACACAGGUCAGGGUGCUGGAACCCAGAGGCUGGAGGAGAACAUUCGGCCAGGGGAGGAAGGAGACGUCAGUCUGGCAGGACCAUGGCAGGCUGUAAGACACGCAGAGUGUUUGACUCUUUAGCUGCGAGCAAAGGGCAGUUGGCAUAGAGGGUCAGUGGGGAGUGGAAAGAGUUUGACUACAUCUGGGGCCUGAAAAGGCCCAAGAUGCACUCCGUGUCCCCACCAGGCAGGAUGGAAGUGGCAGCCCCCAAACCUGUCACACCAAAGCCAGCAGCUGCUCAUCACCCUCAGCCCAGCAUUCCUAUGAGUGGCACUCCCUACGAUCCCACUGGCCCCUAAGAUCUGCACCCCACUCCCUGGCAUCUGACGACGAUCCUGUCAUUUCUCCCCAGGUAGGGUUGCCAGAUCUAGCAAAUAAAAAUAAGGGAACUCAGGCAGGGCAUGGUGGCUCACGCCUGUAAUUCCAACACUUUGGGGGAGGCCAAGGCAGGCUGUUCAUUUGAGGUCAGGAGUUUAAGACCAGCCUGGCCAACAUGGUGAAACCCC
rnacentral:lncRNA from 1 species